AAAGUUGUCAUCAACAAGAAAACUAAAACCUUUAAAAGAUAGGAAUUAGUAGUAGAAUGCUGAAACAAACUUCUGGAUUAGCUUCAUUGGCUUUCCUGCUUCUUUUGCAUCCCAAAGCAUAAACUGAAAUCGUCCCAGAAGGACAAGGUCCGCCAGUUUAUGGCAUUUACCCAGGCUGGUGAAAGGACUGCUAUAUACUGCUUAACACAGAAUGAAUGGAAACUAGAAGUGGCAACAGACAACUACUUCCAGAAUCCAGACUUGUACUACAAAGAAUCCAUGAAAAAUUCAGUAGACAAGAAGAAAUUAGAACAACUGUAUAAUCGAUACAAAGACCCACAAGAUGAAAAUAAAAUUGGCAUUGAUGGGAUUCAGCAGUUCUGUGAUGAUUUAAGCCUGGACCCAGCCAGUAUCAGUGUUCUGGUUGUGGCAUGGAAAUUCAGGGCAGCUACUCAGUGUGAAUUCAGUAAAAAGGAAUUUAUUGAUGGCAUGACAGAGUUGGGAUGUGACACCACAGAAAAGCUAAAAGCUUUAUUGCCAAGACUGGAACAAGAGCUAAAGGAUCCAGCAAAGUUCAAAGAUUUUUAUCAGUUUACUUUUAACUUUGCUAAAAAUCCUGGACAAAAAGGUCUAGUUGCCUGGGAUCAAGCAAGAGAUGAGAGAUGAGGAGGGCAUUCAGACUUGAAUCAAAUAUUACCUCAAGACCAGAAGAAUGACUAUCUUUGCAUCCGAUCUAGAAAUGGCGAUUGCAUACUGGAAUUUAGUCUUGUCAGGAAGGUUUAAAUUUUUAGAUCUUUGGAAUAAAUUUUUGUUGGAACAUCAUAAAAGAUCAAUUCCAAAAGAUACUUGGAAUCUUUUGUUAGAUUUUGGAAAUAUGAUUGCAGAUGAUAUGUCCAACUAUGAUGAAGAAGGAGCAUGGCCUGUUCUAAUAGAUGACUUUGUGGAAUAUGCACGACCAGUAGUCACAGGAGGAAAACAUAAAACUUCCUAACCCCAGAGCUGUUGAUAUGGACUAAAUGAACUGCACUGGGUAAUGAAGAUUUGUUAGCUGAUAACUGCACGUUGGUGCUGGUUUCAGUGGUCAUGAUGACAUUCUGCAGACAAAACUGAAAUUCCUCCUUUCUGCCUAAAGAAAAUGAUGACUGAUGUGUGGACACUUCAAACUCAGAAGAUCCAAGCUGUUUGUAGGCUAUUGGCUUCAAUUAUUGUACUGGUUGUAUCAUAUAGGAUGUAGAUUUUGCAUGAUUUUAUACUUUGGAGAAGUUUAACUAGAGGCCAUUUUAUUAAAGUUUUGACAGCACAGCAUGCCAUUCAGUUCAUAAUCCAAAGUGAACACCAGCAGUUACAUAAAUAAAAAUGUAUUAUAUUGUACUUAUAUUAAAAGCAGUAUUUGUGUUAUAUAAAUUAAAUCCAUAAAUAAAACUUGUGCAGUAUAUGUUGUAUUUUUAUAAAACUUAGUUCUGUGGAUCUGUCUUAAUACAGAAUUGUAAAAAAACCCAAACAAAUGAACAUAGGCCUUUUUUUUUGUUUGUUUUUAACUUAUUGCCAAAAUUUUAAAUUUGCAUUUUCACAUCCUAGAUGUCUACAGUGAUUACAUCCAACCUUUUGCUUUCUCCCAAUGAGUUUUUCUUCCUCAUUUUUCUUCUUGAAGUGCUUGGACAUGUAACAAUAGCAUUGCUGAGGACAGGCUGCUGCUCUAUGCUGUGUUGCAAAUCCAGCUUUUUUAGUAACCAUUUUAAAGUUGAUAUUAAACAACCAAAGAUGCUUUUAUAAUUCAUGUUAAAUUAUGAUAAUUUAGUUAGUGUCCAAUUACGUGUUUUAUUUAUUUUUAAUCAGUAACUGGUGGACUAUGGAUUUUAUUUGUAGCUUGAAACAUAUCAUAAAUUCUAGCUAAAUGCAACAUGGUUGUAAAUUCAUUUCCUGGCACUUCUCAUGGAAAAGAGAUGUGAAUAAGCCCAAAGACUUAACUAGUUUGCUUCCAUGGUGGAGAAAUAGUUAGGGAUAAGGAGACUUUAUAUUAAUAAGUCUUCAUGCCUGUGGAUGUAUUGUGCAUUCAGUUGUAUUUAUUUAAGGGGAGGAAAAAGCAAAUUAAUACAGCUUCAGCGAUCUCAAAGCUGGUGAAAUUGGACCAGUUUUCAUCAGAUCUGAAUUUGUUCACUCACUUCUUUCUCCCCUUUUGCUAGCUAGUGAUUAUGAAAAGCAUAGAGGUGUCAGUCUUUUGUUUCUCAUCAGUGUCUUCCGAUGUCUAAGCACAAAAAACUUUUACCAGAAACUAUUCAGCACGUCUUCACACAGGGCUCUUGCAAAUGCUACCUCAUCAAAGUGAGUUUGUCAUAGCCACUGUAAAAGUUUGUUAAAAUGAAGAAUUGCUAAAGAAUAUGUACAGCUAUGAUCAAUAUAUUUUCUGUAUUUAAAGCUGAAUAGAUGCAAGAAUUUUGGAGAAAAUAGUGCAUUAAGUUAUAUAGUUUAUAUCUGUUUGGGUCAUUGAAGUGUUGCAUGACAGCAGACUAUUUUAUUUGGUAAUUGCCAGGGUAUAAAAGCUUACAAUAUUCUUUUAAGCUCUAAUAUUUAGAGUUUCAUACAAGCAGUCAGCUUUCAUUAUGUCAACACAACCUGCAAGGACAAGUGUCCGUGCUGCAUACAGAGACUGCCUUCAUUCUUCCACUUGAUAGAAUUUCAGUUGUGCAUGAUGUUGAAAAAGCAGGACGAGGGAAAAUUUGAACAAAUUAGUGAUUUUUCCUCCUAGUAAGAGCCUAGCGAGCAAGUGACAAAUGCCCUGUGAGUGAUUUGUUAUGAAUAUCUGUCUUUUUGUUGUGAGUGCCAGCCCUGGCCAAGCAGCCGCCAGGUGUCAGCGUCUGAGCCCGGUGCUCGUGUGCAGAGUUACCCACUGAGGUUAUGCCGAAUUAUUGCUUUCUGACCUCGUCUUUUUAGAAGGGCAUUUGUAACUCCAAGUAUACUACAGAAGUCAGCAGAGAGCUAGAAGGAGCUAUGCUCUUUUUACUGCAUUUGAUUUAUCUAUGCCUCCUCCCCAAAACAAGCCAUUUCUAUAUCUGUCCUGCAGGCUUUGCAGAAUGUGUAACAUCUUACAGCAUCAAGUGCAUUUACCUAUUCAGAAGCAGUGGAAUGCUUGUUACUCACACAAUUGCCACUUAAAAUGUAUAGAUAAAACAUAACUGACCAGAAGUAGCUUAAUCUAUUGAUAUGUGAUGUAACUGAACUUUCAUAGCACUAGAGCUUGUGAAACAUUUGCUCAUGAUGAGAGCUCCAUCAAAUCAUUCUGAUGAACCUUCUACCUUUUAAAAUAAAUAGAGCAUAAAAAAUGCAUGAGGGUUGAAGUUAUUUUUCCCUGUUAAUCGGAGCAAGAAGGAAGGUUCCUAGCCCAGGAUUCAGUGUGUGUGCAUAUAUAUAUAUACAUAUAAAUACACACACACGUUUACUCUUAAACCUCAUUCCUGGGGGGGAUCCUUCGUGGGUGACAGCUUCCAGCAGAGCAGGACUGGGCAAAAAUAGUACAAAGAUGGUAGUUGAUCCUUGUCAGCCAGCUUUUAUGUUUGCUCGGCUUUUCCUUUUUCUUCUGUUCUUCCUGAUCUUCUACCUGUUUUAAACCACAUGUGAUUUUUACAUUUCCAUACAUAAUAGCAUGAAGUAACACCUUAACACUUGAAGUCAUUAAAAAUGCAAAUAAGCUGCUUUCAACUUACAAGUUUCUUAUAUAUUUUAAUAAUUUGCUGCUGUCCAUAGUUCCAUUUUACAGGGUACUCUGACUUCCAUUAUAAGUAAGCUGAUACAGUGGUAACACCUAGGCUGCUCAAUUUAUAAUCCUAAAUGGUACAGAUGUCUUCAAGUUGUUCAGUGCGUACAGUAUUACUUCACAGAUACGCUGUAUGUAUUUUUAAACUUGGUGCCAAGUUGUUUGGUUUGAAACUGAGCCAUAGUAUUUGUACUUGCCAAUUCUAAAUUUAAAUGUGAUUUAUCAUGUGUGUCAUGCCAAGGAGAGCAAACCUGCAGGCAUCUGCUCAUUCAAUGCACCUGGAAGAUUUGCUGCUGAGUAAGCUGUACGUGUGUGUAUAUUUUUUGGCAAUGGAAAAAGGAAUAAAUGGACUGUCAAAGGAUUGAAGUCA